GCCGGAAUAGCUCAGUUGGGAGAGCGUCAGACUGAGGAUCUGAAGAUCCCUAGUUCAAUCCCGGGUUCCGGCA
rnacentral:tRNA from 1 species